AAGAAUAUCUACAAUAAUUUUCAA
rnacentral:piRNA from 1 species